UCACUGUGAUGAUAGUUUUCCAGCAUUUCUCAGUUUCCACCAGAAAGGUUUUCCUUAGUCUUGGGUAAACCUUCCUUGGAUGUCUGAGUGA
rnacentral:snoRNA from 1 species